UUUACAGGACUGCCCUUGACCUCUAAUGAACCAUGGAUGUAUCUAAGCAGCAAUACCCAGGAAAACACAAAUCUUUGAUGGAGGUGCUCCACUGCCCCUUCCCCUUUCUGCCCAUCAAAAUUUUAUUUUUCUCUUUCAGCAUCAAUCCUUUUUUAAAAUGAUUAAGUGCAAGGAAAAUCAAUUGCACAAUAAAAAUACAACCUACCCUCCCUGGAAUACACAUAUCCGUCAUAAGACAAUUGCCCAGCACCAACAAAUUUAUGGAAUUUUACUAUUAAACAUGAUAUGAAAAUUAGAUUUAUGUAGUGUGGUUUGUAUCCAAUUUUUAACAUUUUCUCCAUUAGAUGACUAUUUUGUACAUUCUGCUUUUAUUUUGUGAAUAAUUUCAUCAAAAAAUCUUGCCCUGGCACUGCCAUGAGCUGUGGUGUUGUCCACAGCUGUGGCUUGGAUCUGGCAUUGCUGUGACCAUGGUGCAGGCUGUCAGCUACAGUUCUGAUUCAUCUCCUAGCCUGGGAACUUCUAUGCCACAGGUGCUGCUCUAAAAAUAAGCAAACCAACAUAUAUAUAAUAUAAUGAAAAAUAUGUACAGGACACUGAUCUAGUGUAAGGCUAAUCAAAUAACUCUCUCCUCUCUACUUCUCCCCUUGCCACACAUUUCCUGUCAUUUUACCUGAGUGUCCAGAGGAGAUUGUGUCCAAGAGGGAGUGAGAGGGUUUUCUACUCACAGUAAAAGUGGGAACAAGACAUCCCUCAGACAUCCCACAUCUCUUUUCCACCUCCCUACCCCAAGCUCACACCUGGAUUCCCCUCCAGGGACAGACUCACCUCCUUCUCUGUCCAAUUGGAUUAUUCUAGAAGGGACCCAGAUGAAUGACCCUGGAGGGACCAAUGUCCAGUGGCCACAAUUUAUAGAAAUAAAAAUCAAGCUGCAGUAUAUUAUGAAGAACAUAAGACAAUUCCCAGCAGGCCCCAAAUCCUCACAUUUCCAUGAAUGUUGCUGUGUGAUGGUGGUGGAACAGAGUGUUUGAUAUUGACUUACUCUUAGGACCUCAGGCUCACCACCAGGAAACUCUGGGACAGACACUUCCACAGAUGAGAAACAGACUGUGGCAGCUAGAACACAAAAUUAGAACCUACUUCCAAUGUGCUUUGGACCAUUCCCUAAAGUAUUGUUUGAGCAAUAAUGGCAAAAUGAGAUAGAAGAAAAAAUGCUGAUUAAGACUACGUCUUGGGAAGGUUACUUCCAGGCAUAGUCUCCCUGAGCAUAAGUCACAGCCUCAUUUCCUUCCUUGUAUCUGGAAUCACAAUCAUCAAUCAGGAGGUUACUGUGUGAGGAGGAGGGACACACAAGUGCCUGGGCCAAAAGAACCCAAUGCACAUUUGGUCAUGAAGAGUAUGAGCCACCUGGCCAUUGAGUAUGGGGGCUUAAACCCCAUUCUCCUUUCCACCAUCAUAAUGAGCAUGGUUACAUCUGUGAGUCAAGGUAUACUAGUCCCAUAUCUUUUACUUCUGCACAGCAGGCCAGGACCCAUUAGCUCCAAGCCCAUCAGAAUCAUACUUAAUUUCACACACCUGGUUGUUAUAGUGUUCCAAUAAGCAGAUUUUCAGCCGUUUAGAACCUGUCUGUUUAUCAUACUCCACUGCACACAGCACCUGCUUGCCAUAGAUAAGACAAACAUCUGGCUGCCAAAGACCUCAAGUCAUAGCUCCCAUUGGUUAUCUCUGAUGCAGAGGCUCAUUCCAUGCUACUGAGUGAUGUCUUCUGGACACACAAGUCCCCUGCCAUUUCCCUCUAACCCAGCAUCUGUCCUGCUUUUAUCAGGCAGGUGAUGCUAUCUUUGCUAUAGCUUCUAGAAGGUCCCAUAUUGUGAGGGACAUCCCUUAUCAACAAACUGGCAGAGUGCACCCUAGUAAACUCAGUAUGGACACCUGCCAUCUCAUGGCCACAUCAUUCUUCUUGAUCAGUCCCCAAGUCUGCCAAACCUUACCUCUUGGUCAGGUGACCCAACACUUCCUACUCCACAUCAUCAUCUGAAAAGUGAAGACAAUUAUAGACCUGUUUGUAGGAUCAAAUGGCAUAAAUGUCAAAAGUUUGAAGCACCACCUGGCCCAUUACGGGGUGUAAUGUGGCACAGAGCAUUUGUGCAAGAUGCCUCCUUAUCGUCUCAUCAUGCAGAUCUGCUUCCUGUUCACCCUUUAAUUUUUGUUGUCUAAUUCUCUGUGCACGAGACAUGACUCAUAGGCCACAGUGACCUUGCAUUUCACUCGGGCUCCAACAUCGUGGUAUUCUGGAAGAAUAAUAGACUCUGGGUCAAGAUGGACAUGGGUUCUCAUUUAGGUAUGUUACUUAUUUCUUAUGAAGAAUGGAAACAUAAAGAGUAGCUGCUUCUGCAGCAUGAAAACCAGGAUGGUCUCACGGAAGUCACUGGAGGACAGAGUUUCAAGAUGGAACACAGGCUUAUCUUUAGUAGGUGUCUAGACAUGGGGAAGAUGGGGAGAGGAAUUGCCAUCUUCCACUUAGGCACUGUGACUCCAUGAGCUCUCCUGCACUAACUUUCUUCCAUGUGGGAAGCCUCUUUUCGGGAGAGCAGGGCCCUUGCAGAAUCUGAAUUUGGUUUUGUUCCUGAUCCAGAGAUUAGUCUACUGCCACCUACAGGACAAUGCAGGAACUUCUUCCCGGCUGCUGUUCUGGGUGGAGGUUCUUAAGCCUUUACUGACUCUCAAAACCCUCUUCUAAACAGUCACUCAGUGUGAGAGUUGAAAACCACAGAACACUGACCCUCACUCUUUACCAUGCCUGUUUGCAUGAUUCUUUGUCUGCCUCUCCCAGUUGCAUAAUGAUGCUUACAUGUUUUUCUGAUCAUGGAAACACAAAGAGUAAAAUAACAAAGAGAGAGGAACAGCUGAUGAGGGGGAACAUUCCAGAAAUGAUGAGGGAACUCUAGUUAUCCCAACACUGAAACAGUCACAGCCAAUCAUUGUAACUGAGCAAGGCCUUUGGGGGCUCCACAUUUCUUGGUUUUAGGAAAUGGUCCUUAUUCAGCCUCCAUGGCCUUCCCUGAGUUCCCAGGGGCAGAUUCAGACAGUUUCUGAUUAGGGAAAGAAGG
rnacentral:lncRNA from 1 species